CACACUGUAAACGAUGAAUGCCAGGUGUAGGGGGUAUCGACCCCCCCUGUGCCGCAGCAAACGCAGUAAGCAUUCCGCCUGGGGAGUACGGUCGCAAGAUUAAAACUCAAAGGAAUUGACGGGGGCCCGCACAAGCAGCGGAGCAUGUGGUUUAAUUCGAAGCAACGCGAAGAACCUUACCAGGUCUUGACAUCCAGGUAAACCUGCAGAGACGCAGCGUGCCUUCGGGCAAUCUGAGACAGGUGG
rnacentral:rRNA from 1 species